rnacentral:pre_miRNA from 1 species
CUCGGGGAAGAGGGUCCCUCAGCCCGGAUUUCGAGAGAGCGCAGGCCAGGCUGAGGGAUCCCACUGGUGCACA